UGCUUAGUAUGCACUGUGAGUUUCAUUGCUUCUGCUAUUUCCGUCCUCAGCUAUAAAGAUGUUUCAUCUUCACACCUUUGCACCUACUGAAAACUGUCAAGAUGCAGCACAUAGAAGAGCUACUCACUCCUGCUGCAGUCGUGUUUUAAUGGCUUCAUAAGUGAAGCAAAUGGCACAGAGGGCUGUUAACCCAGGACCAUGAUGUGGUUCCAGGAAGUCCCCAACAACCUGAAGAAUAAAAGUGUUAUCUACAAAUAAUCCCAGUUACAGUGGACAAAAUUAACUUCACAACGAGAGAUGGACGGUGCAAAG